AUGUAUGCUCCCAUGAUCUGUGCCAGUGUGUGCAUUGCUCGCCCGUCGGCCUCCAGUCUUACUCGUACGUGCGUACACUGCCGCAUUUUCGAUCACGAUCCUCGCGGAGUAGAAUUCCUGCGCCGAAGCUCUCUCGAACGCAUGGCUUUGCCCGGAACCCGCAUGGCCUUCCUGUCCAUGCUGGUGGUCGUCGCGGCGCUGGCCGUGCCGGCGGUGAGAGCGGCGACCGACGCGCGCUGGGCGAACCACGGGCACCACCGGCACGCGCCUCCGCCCCCUGCCGUUCCUCCAUCCUCCUCCGGGCCCGCCCCGGCUCCGUCCCCUACGGGUCACGCGGCGGCGAGCCCGUCUCCCGGCACGCCGGCGCCGGCCACGAGCUCGCCCGCCCCGUCGCCCGCCGUGGAGAGCAAGAGUGCCGCCGCGGCCUUCUCGCCGUUGUCUUGGCCGGCCGUGCUCGUGGGCGCUGCCGCCGUGGUGAUGUUCUGA
rnacentral:rRNA from 1 species